UAUGCGUUGUUGGGUAGGGGAGCGUUCUGUAAGCCUGCGAAGGUGUGCUGUGAGGCAUGCUGGAGGUAUCAGAAGUGCGAAUGCUGACAUAAGUAACGAUAAAGCGGGUGAAAAGCCCGCUCGCCGGAAGACCAAGGGUUCCUGUCCAACGUUAAUCGGGGCAGGGUGAGUCGACCCCUAAGGCGAGGCCGAAAGGCGUAGUCGAUGGGAAACAGGUUAAUAUUCCUGUACUUGGUGUUACUGCGAAGGGGGGACGGAGAAGGCUAUGUUGGCCGGGCGACGGUUGUCCCGGUUUAAGCGUGUAGGCUGGUUUUCCAGGCAAAUCCGGAAAAUCAAGGCUGAGGCGUGAUGACGAGGCACUACGGUGCUGAAGCAACAAAUGCCCUGCUUCCAGGAAAAGCCUCUAAGCAUCAGGUAACAUCAAAUCGUACCCCAAACCGACACAGGUGGUCAGGUAGAGAAUACCAAGGCGCUUGAGAGAACUCGGGUGAAGGAACUAGGCAAAAUGGUGCCGUAACUUCGGGAGAAGGCACGCUGAUAUGUAGGUGAAGUCCCUUGCGGAUGGAGCUGAAAUCAGUCGAAGAUACCAGCUGGCUGCAACUGUUUAUUAAAAACACAGCACUGUGCAAACACGAAAGUGGACGUAUACGGUGUGACGCCUGCCCGGUGCCGGAAGGUUAAUUGAUGGGGUCAGCGCAAGCGAAGCUCUUGAUCGAAGCCCCGGUAAACGGCGGCCGUAACUAUAACGGUCCUAAGGUAGCGAAAUUCCUUGUCGGGUAAGUUCCGACCUGCACGAAUGGCGUAAUGAUGGCCAGGCUGUCUCCACCCGAGACUCAGUGAAAUUGAACUCGCUGUGAAGAUGCAGUGUACCCGCGGCAAGACGGAAAGACCCCGUGAACCUUUACUAUAGCUUGACACUGAACAUUGAGCCUUGAUGUGUAGGAUAGGUGGGAGGCUUUGAAGUGUGGACGCCAGUCUGCAUGGAGCCGGCCUUGAAAUACCACCCUUUAAUGUUUGAUGUUCUAACGUGGACCCGUGAUCCGGGUUGCGGACAGUGUCUGGUGGGUAGUUUGACUGGGGCGGUCUCCUCCUAAAGAGUAACGGAGGAGCACGAAGGUUGGCUAAUCCUGGUCGGACAUCAGGAGGUUAGUGCAAUGGCAUAAGCCAGCUUGACUGCGAGCGUGACGGCGCGAGCAGGUGCGAAAGCAGGUCAUAGUGAUCCGGUGGUUCUGAAUGGAAGGGCCAUCGCUCAACGGAUAAAAGGUACUCCGGGGAUAACAGGCUGAUACCGCCCAAGAGUUCAUAUCGACGGCGGUGUUUGGCACCUCGAUGUCGGCUCAUCACAUCCUGGGGCUGAAGUAGGUCCCAAGGGUAUGGCUGUUCGCCAUUUAAAGUGGUACGCGAGCUGGGUUUAGAACGUCGUGAGACAGUUCGGUCCCUAUCUGCCGUGGGCGCUGGAGAACUGAGGGGGGCUGCUCCUAGUACGAGAGGACCGGAGUGGACGCAUCACUGGUGUUCGGGUUGUCAUGCCAAUGGCACUGCCCGGUAGCUAAAUGCGGAAGAGAUAAGUGCUGAAAGCAUCUAAGCACGAAACUUGCCCCGAGAUGAGUUCUCCCUGACCCUUUAAGGGUCCUGAAGGAACGUUGAAGACGACGACGUUGAUAGGCCGGGUGUGUAAGCGCAGCGAUGCGUUGAGCUAACCGGUACUAAUGAACCGUGAG
rnacentral:rRNA from 1 species